rnacentral:tRNA from 1 species
UGGCUAGUUGGUCAAGCGGUUAAGACGUCGCCCUCUCACGGCGAAAACAGGGGUUCGAUUCCCCUACUAGCUGU